UACAGAGGUGGCAAGCGUUGUUCGGAAUUACUGGGCGUAAAGGGCGCGUAGGCGGUCUUCUAAGUCUUGUGUGAAAUCCCUCGGCUCAACUGAGGAACUGCACGGGAUACUGGAAGACUUGAGUUCGGGAGAGGGAAGCGGAAUUCCGGGUGUAGCGGUGAAAUGCGUAGAUAUCUGGAGGAACACCGGUGGCGAAGGCGGCAUCCUGGACCAACACUGACACUGAGGAGCGAAAGCCAGGGGAGCAAACGGG
rnacentral:rRNA from 1 species